UGGCGAACGGGUGAGUAACACGUGGGCAACCUGCCCAAAAGAGGGGGAUAACACUUGGAAACAGGUGCUAAUACCGCAUAACCAUAGUUACCGCAUGGUAACUAUGUAAAAGGUGGCUAUGCUACCGCUUUUGGAUGGGCCCGCGGCGCAUUAGCUAGUUGGUGGGGUAAAGGCUUACCAAGGCAAUGAUGCGUAGCCGAACUGAGAGGUUGAUCGGCCACAUUGGGACUGAGGCACGGCCCAAACUCCUACGGAAGGCAGCAG
rnacentral:rRNA from 1 species